rnacentral:misc_RNA from 1 species
UCCUACUUGACGCAGGCAGUCUCGUUAGAGUUCCCAACUUAAUGUAGCAACUAACGACAGAGGUUGCGCUCGUUGCGGGACUUAACCCAACAUCUCACGAUACGAGCUGACGACAGCCAUGCAGCACCUGGAUUACGGCUCUCUUGCGAGCACCCCGAUAUUUCUAAAGGGUUCCGUACUUUUCUAGCCCGGGUAAGGUUCUGCGCGUUGCGUCGAAUUAAACCACAUGCUCCACUGCUUGUGCGGGCCCCCGUCAAUUCCUUUGAGUUUUAGCCUUGCGGCCGUACUUCCCAGGCGGGGUGCUUAACGCGUUAGCUACGGCACCUCAGGGGUCAAUACCCGAGACACCUAGCACCCAUCGUUUACGGCGUGGACUAC